GAUGAACGCUGGCGGCGUGCCUAAUACAUGCAAGUCGAGCGAACAGAUGAGGAGCUUGCUCCUCUGACGUUAGCGGCGGACGGGUGAGUAACACGUGGAUAACCUACCUAUAAGACUGGGAUAACUUCGGGAAACCGGAGCUAAUACCGGAUAAUAUAUUGAACCGCAUGGUUCAAUAGUGAAAGACGGUUUUGCUGUCACUUAUAGAUGGAUCCGCGCCGCAUUAGCUAGUUGGUAAGGUAACGGCUUACCAAGGCGACGAUGCGUAGCCGACCUGAGAGGGCGAUCGGCCACACUGGAACUGAGACACGGUCCAGACUCCUACGGGAGGCAGCAGUAGGGAAUCUUCCGCAAUGGGCGAAAGCCUGACGGAGCAACGCCGCGUGAGUGAUGAAGGUCUUCGGAUCGUAAAACUCUGUUAUUAGGGAAGAAAAAAUGUGUAAGUAACUCUGCGCGUCUUGACGGUACCUAAUCAAAAAGCAACGGCUAACUACGUG
rnacentral:rRNA from 1 species